AGGGAUGUAACUAGGUGGUAGGGCAUCUGGUUAACAUGCAGAAGGUCCUGGGUUCAAUCCCUGGCAUCUCCA